rnacentral:rRNA from 1 species
GAUGAACGCGGGCGGCGUGCCUAAUACAUGCAAGUCGAGCGAAUGGAUUAAGAGCUUGCUCUUAUGAAGUUAGCGGCGGACGGGUGAGUAACACGUGAGUAACCUGCCCUUGACUCUGGGAUAACUGCGGGAAACUGUAGCUAAUACCGGAUACGACCCUCGGAGGCAUCUCCUGGGGGUGGAAAGAAUUUCGGUCAAGGAUGGACUCGCGGCCUAUCAGCUAGUUGGUGAGGUAACGGCUCACCAAGGCGACGACGGGUAGCCGGCCGGAGAGGGUGACCGGCCACACGGGGACUGAGACACUGCCCAGACUCCUACGGGAGGCAGCAGUGGGUAAUAUUUCACAAUGGGGGCAAGCCUGAUGCAGCAACGCCGCGGGAGGGAUGACGGCCUUCCGGUUGUAAACCUCUUUUAGCAGGGAAGAAGCGAAAGUGACGGUACCUGCAGAAAAAGCACCGGCUAACUACGUGCCAGCCGCCGCGGUAA